UUUAAAUUUUAAUCUAAUUUGUU
rnacentral:snRNA from 1 species